UCUGUUUUAUGUUUUAAUUGUGACCUACAGAUGAUAAUUAGCUAUAAACUAAAUCUGGUGCAGUACAUCAUUUAUGUUAAACACUACAUGGUCCCAAUAAAUACAUAAGACAAUAAAUGAAAUGACCUGAGUGCUGAAACAGCACUGAGAGAAAGACAAAAACUGAAUCAUAAAAAACAGCUUCUCUCCUCAGAGGAACAAGGCUGCACUUACUAACAUUUACAACUUGUCAGAUCUACAUGCAAACCUACGCAAACACCUUCACGAGCUCUGAGACAGAAGAAAUAUUUCCAUAACGACUCUUUGGGUCACUGUGUUAGAAAUAUGAGCACAGAAACUGGUUCAACAAGACCGAGGUGCAAACACAACUUAUACACCUUUCAUUCAUUAACUCAUUAACACACACACACACACACACACACACACACACCACAACGCUGCUAAAACAAGCAGCUCCUACUAAACACAACACAGAUCAAUAAUUCAGAAACAUGUGAGCUGACCACAAACAUCCAAAACACACAAAUUAAAAAAAAAACAAAACAAAACUAAGAAACAAAAUCAAACACUCAUCUCAAAACCAUACAGGCUCAUGACCUCUUAAAUCAAAGUGCAUUGUGGGUACAUCAGUAUCUACACACAUUAGCAGGUUACAGAAAGCUCUCGUCACAAAGUGCAGUUAGAUGUUUGAUGUUUCUCUCAUGUCUCAGGUUUUCUCUGAGGGGGAAAACAGUGUACUGAACAUGUGCUGCUGUGGUUGCCGGGGGCGACGACAGCGAUGAUGGUGGAGGGACUGGCUGCUUUAACUCUUCAGGUCAAAACCAGAAACAGAGAUGAUGCUGGAUAUGGAUGAAGCCAACACCUGUAACAUUCCCUCUCUCAUUGAUAACAGUGAUGGAUGACAGCAUCCGUCAUGACAUCAUGCUCCUGAAACUAACGGAAAAACCCUCUGUGAGGCCUCCCGUCAUCAGACUCCCUAUAUAGUAUAGUGUGUGUGUCUAAAACAUGAAAUGUGAAUAUUUUAUAUUGUAAUGUAAUACAGAAAGUUCUAUUUUAAAUCCACACAAACUGUCAUGUGUUGAUGUCUCACUGCAUCCAGACUGUGCUGGUUGAAACAAACAUCUGAUUACAUGAAAGAAGGUAAAUGUGCUGUAAAAGCCUCUAAAGCUGCCAGUCAGUGUCCUGUAACGUCUCCACUGGUCUCACACAUGGUUGUGAGGUGUACCAGUGCAGCUGCACCAGUGUCCAGUUAAAUGUUGUUGACUGAUGCAGAGGGAUCAUCAACACUUAUUAUGGGCCUGAAGCUUUUCAACAUCAGCCAUCAGACUGGAUCUCAGUGAGUGUGAGGAUGAUGAUGAUGAUGAUGAUGAUGACUGUAGUCAUGUAUGAUGAUUCAUAAUUAAUAUCAAACACAGUCUGUGCUCAUAAGGAGAAAGGAGGAGCACUUCCUGUCUUAUUUCACUGUCACAUGCUACAUGAAACAUCUGAUGUCAGCUUGUGAAUACUGACCUCAGUUAUACUGAAAGCACAAUAACUGCUUUAUAAAUGUGCAACAGGUGUGCAUGUCUUAUGAAGUCCAUAUGUAGGAAGCCUUCAAAUAAAGAAGGAAGCUGACACACAGCAAACACUGAGACCUGACUGUUGUUUUAAGGGGAAAUUUGCAUGAGAUUAAACUGAAGAAUUCAUUGUUCUGUGAAACGUCGCUGCCGUCCUGCACACCUGCUGAUCUGUAUGAAUGUGUCCAGAGUACGUGAUGGAACCUGAUUGGUCCACGCAGGAUGAGAGAGGACAGAUAAUAAAGAACAUUUAAAAACGAGCAACACUGUGACCCAGAGGCCGGAGAAGUGGACCGAGAAGGAAGACCACGAUGAAGAGUUUGAUCCUUCUGCUCGUCUUGGCGUCAGCAGUUUCUGGUGCUGUGGACAUCCAGAAAAGAGUGCUGAAUGGAGUGGAUUGCCUUGCUCAUGAGGGUCUGCAUUACGUGGAUCUGAGAGACAGUAAAAAUGAACAGAUGUUCUGUGGAGGGAAUCUGACCAGUCCAGAAUGGGUCCUCACUGCUGCACACUGUAAAACACCUACGUUUGUGGUGGGUUUGGGCAGAAAUCCAUCUGGAGAUGACACCAGAAUAAAGCGGCCAGACUGCAGUGUGCUGACGUUCCCCUGAGUUCAGGCUGCGACGGUCGUUACAAAGAACUCUAUCUUGGAAAAAAACAUCUUAUUCCUAAAUAUUUAAGAGGAUAUCUACUGUGCUCCUACAGCCCCUGGCAAUGUCAAGCCUGCCCAGGGGACUCUGGGGGCAGUCUGGUGAAGGAUGGUGUUCUGUAUGGAGUGACCGUAGCAUUUAACCGAACCCCCCCAUGGAGGACUUUCUUCAUUGAUGUCUGUGCUUAC